GGAACCCGGCCGACAGAAGAUGGCGGAUGAGCAGCGUGCAGGGUUUUCUCCCUGUGGCUCACUCUCUCUUACUGUGCUGGGCGGUUGCUUCCUCUCCUGCUGCCCUUGGGAGUCAGACUCCAGGUUCUUCAGCCUGUGGCCCCUGGGGCUCUCGGGCCUUGGAGGACUGACUAGGAGCACACGGUGGGCCUCUCUGGUUUGGGGGCCUGGGACGUGGCGGAGCCCUGCAGCUUCUGUGCGGCCUGUUCUGGGCGUCGCGUUGAAACGCCAGCCAGUUCCCCAACUCUAUCCAACGCUGAAAUUUAGGACUCAGCAGUACAGGCACUCCAGCUCUGUCCACACCCAUGCCAACAGCUCCCUUGAUCUAUGGAUCGGAUGGACGUAGAACUACUCUAGGAAAUUCCUCAAACACUGCCAAGUACUUCAUGGCUGAAAGCCAAAUAUUCAGUCCCCCUGGGAUUACAGGAGUGUUGAAGAAAUGUUGUGACACAUCAGAACACCGCGAAAUACAUGGACACUUUCAAAUCAUGGAAGACUCAAGAGUCCUUGUUUUUGCCCAGUAUUAUAAACUGAGUUACAUAAAGGCAGAGCAAAUGCUAAAGCAAACUGUCCAGAAGGAAGGACAGCAGUAAGUGGAGAGACGUUAUUGCAAACAAGCACCUGGCAACAGCUGUGUUAGUUGCCCACCAGGUAUUUUUGAAAAAAGUACUCUGUGAAAAACAGAAACUGCAAGCAAGACAGAUACCAGGAUUAGGGAUCACGGUGACUUCUACCAUCGCUGGAUACUCCCAAAAGGGUUCUCGAGACAGCAGCUGUGUCUGCCCUGCUUUGGCAUUCUUUCCCAGGCAUGGCGACCAAGAAACUUUAAUUAGAAGGAAACAGGAAUAUUCAACGGACUCCCAAGACAAGAAUAUAGAUGUAUAUCAGAAGCUGAGCAUUGAAGUUGCUACUAGAGUCUCCCCGAGCCCUUAUUGGAUUCUCACUUCAGGAGCUGCUUUCAUUAUUUUGCCUCUCAGUUUCAAAAUAGACAAAGAACUCAACACUCAACAAUAAGAAAAUGAACAACUUGGUUGAAAAAUGGGCCAAAGACCUUAACAGACACCUCACCAAAGAUGAUAGACAGGUAGGAAAUAAACAUAUAAAAAGAUGCUGCACGUCAGAUGUCAUCAGAAAAGUGCAAUUAAAACAACAAUGAGACACCACUAUGCAUCUCCUAGAAUGACCAAAACCCAGAACACUGACACCAAAUACUCUUGAGGAUGUGGAGCAAUUCUCAUUGCUGAUGGGAAUGCAAAAUGGUACAGUCUUUUGGAAGACAGCUUGGAGGUUUCUUAUAAAGCUAAACUUGGAUUUACCAUACCAUCUACCAGCAGUGCUCCUUGGUAUUUACCCAGUGGAGCUGAAAAUGUAUGUCCCCACAGAAAAACAGGCACGUGGACGCUUACAGAAGUUUUACACAUAAUUUCCAAGACUUGGAAGCAACCAAGAUGUCCUUCAGUCGGUGAAUGGAAGAAUAAACUGUGGAACAAUCAGACCAUGGAAUAUUAUUCAGUGCUGAAUAGAAAUGAGCUAAGAAAGCCAUAAAAAAA
ensembl:lncRNA LINC01446 long intergenic non-protein coding RNA 1446